rnacentral:rRNA from 1 species
UACAUGGAGUCCAAGCGUUAUCCGGAUUUACUGGGCGUAAAGCGUCCGUAGGUGGUUCAUUAAGUCUUCGGUGAAAUCUCCAGGCUUAACUUGGAAAUUGUCGAGGAAACUGAUGGACUUGAGUACGGCAGAGGCAGAUGGAAUUCCUGGUGUAGGGGUAAAAUCCGUUGAUAUCAGGAAGAACACCAGUGGCGAAGGCGAUCUGCUGGGCCGUUACUGACACUGAGGGACGAAAGCGUGGGGAGCGAACGGG